rnacentral:rRNA from 1 species
GGAUCACGCCGCGUGAGGGAUGAAGGCCUCUGGGCUGUAAACCUCUUUUAUCAAGGAAGAAGAUUGACGGUACUUGAUGAAUAAGCCACGGCUAAUUCCGUGCCAGCAGCCGCGGUAAUACGGGAGUGGCAAGCGUUAUCCGGAAUUAUUGGGCGUAAAGCGUCCGCAGGCGGUCUUGUAAGUCUGUCGUUAAAGCGUGGAGCUUAACUCCAUUUGAGCGAUGGAAACUGCAAGACUAGAGUGUGGUAGGGGCAGAGGGAAUUCCCGGUGUAGCGGUGAAAUGCGUAGAUAUCGGGAAGAACACCAGUGGCGAAGGCGCUCUGCUGGGCCAUAACUGACGCUCAUGGACGAAAGCCAGGGGAGCGAAAGGGAUUAGAUACCCCUGUAGUCCUGGCCGUAAACGAUGAACACUAGGUGUCGGGGGAAUCGACCCCCUCGGUGUCGUAGCCAACGCGUUAAGUGUUCCGACUGGGGAGUACGCACGCAAGUGUGAAACUCAAAGGAAUUGACGGUGGCCCGCACAAGCGGUGGAGUAUGUGG